GGGCAGAUGGGAGAGUGGUUUAAUCCAGUCGCCUGGAACGCGGCCGUGGGGCAACUCACCGGGGGUUCGAAUCCCCCUCUGCCCGCCA
rnacentral:tRNA from 2 species